GUGUAAUUCACCAAAAAAAACCUAACUAAUACGAGAUGGAUUUUAUUUAGGUGGGGAGCCAAGUCCCUGUUUGAAGAGUGUAGUGGGAAUAUCAGCCUGCCAUGAGGCUGUCCUGAGUUUGAAUGUGAUUGCUAAUAAAAAUAAAACACAAUUGAUACUCUCAGUGCUUCCAAAAUGAGCAGCUACAUGAGAACUAUUCCUCUGAAGCUCCUUGUGCUGGGCUGCCCAGGCUGUCAGUUUGUUCACAACCCGAUCUUCUGGGAAAGUCAUGAAAUACCUGGAUCUGGGGUGGGAGA
rnacentral:lncRNA from 1 species